rnacentral:lncRNA from 1 species
AGAAGAAGAAGAAUUGGAGCGUGAUUCCAAAACAGAGGAAGCUGGUCAAGACAAUGAUGCUUGAAGCUAUUCUCUCCUUCAUCAUCUCCUCUCGUACCGGAGCUCCAUCCGGUUCGGGUCGAUUUCGUACUGGAUCCGGUAAGGUCAGGGAUGUGAAAUUGUGUGAUUGAUUUGCUUAGCAAUGUAAUGUUUUCCUCAUCUGAUCUCUGUUUCUCAGAGUUCGUUAGUUUCAGAAAAGAAAACUCGAUUACAGACACUGUAGCUGUAAUUUGUGUAUUUGAGAACAAGGGUUUUUUUCUUUGAUAUGUAGUUAAUGAAACCCAUAUUUCAUUUCUCUUCUGUAAGUUACGUUUGUGUAAAAAGAAAGUGAAUUUGUCAAGUCUCUGUUUUUGUUCCUGACGAAAACAGAGUAAUGAUGAAUAUGGUCGUCGGACGGAGAAAGCAAAAGGCCGAUUGAUUAGUCUGCUACUGACUACUGAGAGUGAAAGUGCGAUCCUCGUCGGAGUCUCAAUCAGACGCG